rnacentral:rRNA from 1 species
AGUGAACGCUGGCGGUAGGCCUAACACAUGCAAGUCGAACGGCAGCACAGUAAGAGCUUGCUCUUACGGGUGGCGAGUGGCGGACGGGUGAGGAAUACAUCGGAAUCUACUUUUUCGUGGGGGAUAACGUAGGGAAACUUACGCUAAUACCGCAUACGACCUACGGGUGAAAGCAGGGGAUCUUCGGACCUUGCGCGAUUGAAUGAGCCGAUGUCGGAUUAGCUAGUUGGCGGGGUAAAGGCCCACCAAGGCGACGAUCCGUAGCUGGUCUGAGCGGAUGAUCAGCCACACUGGAACUGAGACACGGUCCAGACUCCUACGGGAGGAAGCAGUGGGGAAUAUUGGACAAUGGGCGCAAGCCUGAUCCAGCCAUACCGCGUGGGUGAAGAAGGCCUUCGGGUUGUAAAGCCCUUUUGUUGGGAAAGAAAAGCAGCAGGUUAAUACCCCGCUGUUUUGACGGUACCCAAAGAAUAAGCACCGGCUAACUUCGUG